rnacentral:ncRNA from 2 species
CUUGCACAGUCACUUAUUGGUUUCUUAACACAUCUUUUUUUUGUGUUUGGAUGAAAAGGGAAUCUUGUUAAAAUCAGGAGCUGUCCCCGCAGCUGUAAGUCUAUUUACGUUUUGGUAAUCAAAAAAGUCAUUGUCCCGAUAUAAUUGUAGCUAAUGAGCAAACUUACCCAAAAGGAGGUCAACCA